UAGGGAAUCUUCCGCAAUGGACGAACGUCUGACGGAGCAACGCCGCGUGAGUGAAGAAGGAUUUCGGUUCGUAAAACUCUGUUGUUAGGGAAGAAAAAAUGUAUAGUAACUAUAUACAAAAGAGACGGUACCUAACCAGAAAGCCACGGCUAACUACGUGCCAGCAGCCGCGGUAAUACGUAGGUGGCAAGCGUUGUCCGGAAUUAUUGGGCGUAAAGCGCGCGCAGGUGGUUUAGAAAGUCUGAUGUGAAAGCCCACGGCUCAACCGUGGAGGGUCAUUGGAAACUAAUAAACUUGAGUGCAGGAGAGAAAAGUGGAAUUCCUAGUGUAGCGGUGAAAUGCGUAGAGAUUAGGAGGAACACCGGUGGCGAAAGCGGCUUUUUGGCCUGCAACUGACACUGAGGCGCGAAAGCGUGGGGAGCAAACAGG
rnacentral:rRNA from 1 species